rnacentral:tRNA from 1 species
GCGCCUGUAGCUCAGGGGAUAGAGCAUCUGACUUCUAAUCAGAGGGUCGCAGGUUCGAUUCCUGCCAGGCGUGCCA